AUUUUACACUUUCAUUUACCUGGAUUUUUUUCUACGCUUCGAAGCCGCCACCCUGUAUCAAACUUAUCCAACACCUCGCAUGGCGUAUUCACGAUGUGGAGGGAUUGACAAUAUACAAUCAAAGUUAGCAAUAUACAGCAAGUUGCCAGCAAGAUGAAAAGAACAAUGCAGUUCAAAAGUCAAAAUGUGGAUAAGCUGCGGUACAAGGUCCUACUUUUGCAGAUUUUCAUAUUUUGCAUGAAUGAAUUUGAAGUUUAUAUCAUGGAGGGCAGAGAAAGAAAAGAAACACUUCAGUUUUCCUGCUUCUGAAGGAUAAAUGUAAAACAUCUUGUUUGAAGGAUUGAAAUUCAUCACUGAGAAUAAAAGGAGAAAACACAGAAACAAGACCAAAAUAAAUUCAAAGACAAAAGUCAGAUCAGUUAUUAUUUUCAUCACUCAGCCAAUGAAUUGAAGUUCUUUUAAAUAUCUAAA